UGUUCAGUACGGCUGAGGUUAUGGGGCAAGUGAUGCUGCUUUUCCACAAUUUCAGCUCGUGCACGUCGACGGAAACAAUCUAUGUAGUGAUAGUCUCUAUUCAUAUAACUGCACUGGCUGUAAUGGAGGUCUAAACAACCAAAGAAUUUGUCUCAUUGUUUGUAAACCUGACUUAGAUGUAUGCAACACAGAAAGUACUAUAUGAGUGUAACUGAUAAAGGAUCUGGCAAAUUCAUGUGUCCUUUGUCAUUACCCUGUUCUGAAAGUGAGCUGUAGGGAGCAUUUGAUCCAGUGUGUACAACUGUAAACUAUUACACAGUUUUAUAAUAUUUUAGUGGGCCUAUGUGUAGAAUGGCAUUACUCAAGCUGAGUAAGGUCCACCGUGUUAUGUAAUAUAAAAGAAUAAUGGCUCUGAUCUCCUUGAUGAAGUCAAAAGUCUAUUGACUGAGUCAUAUUGCUGAAGAGGAUUCAUGAGCGUAUUGAAGCUACUAUUAGAAGAUAUCUAGCCUGAUUUGUUCUUGAUGGGAGCUACAUUGAUAACAUUCACAUACUGAAACUAUUAUUGAUGCAACCUAUGAUGAACAAGUCCUUCUACUUGUGAUGAACGUUGGCUUCUAAAAGACAUUUGACACUAUGAACCAUAAACCUGAAUCCAAGAUUCUUUGUUGUUAUAGCACAUCUGAGAAAAUCAUUAAACCUACUGAAGUUGUACAGACUGGACCUAAUAGUAUUGUUUGCAUAAAGGAUCAUCUGUCCAAGGCAUUUCACUUAAACUUUGGCAUUC